rnacentral:sRNA from 1 species
AGCUGGUGCCGAUGCUUUUGCGUCGGUCAGCUGUUCCCCUCUGGAGGUUUCGACCUUCAAAACUGUCAGGCCGCGGAGCAAUCCAGCGGCCUUUUUU